GUAUGUGGCAUCAAUGAGUCAGAAACGUUAUAGUGUCAAAAUUGACUACAAAGUGUAAAUAGGAUAAUUUGUCAUAGUCAGUCUCGUCCCAAACAGAGUUUUGUACGUGAGUUUGUCACUACUUACUGGAGGGGUGGGUGUGGAUUAUUUACAUACUCAUUUUUUCCAACGAUGCCCAAUUUCCCAGAGACAACAUGUUGUGGUCCGCCCCCAGCUGCCAUGUGGACAUUUGUCGUCAAGUCUGCAUAUGGGUGCAACGCACGCACAUUUCACUCAGCAAAUACGAGUGAAAAAGGGCUUCCAUAAAGUUUGUGCAAACUUCCUAUCCAUUUCAACAAUAUUGCCAGAAAUGGAUUGUCAACCGUCAAACCACUGGUGUUGGAGCUGAAGUCGGGGCUCCUUCAUAUGCAGUAUCUGAGACGAGAGGGACCUGGAGCUGAUCUAUGCUGCCGUGCCCAUCAGGAGUUGGCAAACACCUCAGAAGGGACACAAGUUGAUGAUUACUAAUAAGACAGCACAUCACAACACCGACCACCACUGCUACACAGACCUGUAUGAAGAGGCGGGAGGCAAAAAGGAAGGAGUGAAGGAUGAAGACACAGAGAGUAUGACCUCUGAAUGGUCUUUCCACAGCAGACACUCAGACCGGAAGGCCAGGGGGUACCUGGAGAAGUUUGUCCUGAAGGAUGAGACUCCCGUGGUGGAGCUGGAAGGGUAACCAGCUGUAGAGGAAGGCUUCAGAACUUGGGCCCAGGAAUCAUAUGCGCUGGACAGCUUUUUCUCACACCCUGAGUCUGAGCAUGACAUGACAGAUUUCUUCCUGACGAACGCCAGGUUCUCUCCAUCCGAUGAUCGGUACAUUCCAUCACUGGAUAAAGAAAAGAACAAUGCAGAACGUGUGAAGGAGGAUAAACAUGUCAAGGCAGACGAUAACGUUUUAGAGACAGUGCAGGAAGCGCCUCAGCCCCAAGUGGUGGAAGAAGGGAAAACCACAGAAUUGGGAGCGAGACACAGGGCAUCGUCACAGAUAUAAAAUGACCCAGAGUCUUCCUCUGAGGUGACUGGUGGGGGGAGUGUCACUGAGUCCCCCACAGACCCAAACCUCUCACACAAGCAUGAUGCUCCCACAGAGGAACUACAAACCCUCCCGUUUCCUCUGAGUGACAGCGGAACCCAGCAGAUAACCAAUCAGGAAGCUCCAAAGCCAGUAGCCCUGCUUAGAAGGAUGCCAGUUGCACCUCUCAAGACCUCUCUGAAUCUAGCGCCAAUGGCUCAAGCCCAUACCCCAGUCGAGAUCCUGGAGGAGGGAGUAGGGGAUGGAGGGAAGGAAGAGAGGGAGGAGUGGAAAGCCAAGGCAUCACCAGUUGACGGCUCAUCCUCAUUUUACCAAUCCCAGAUUGCACUGCUAUCAAGUAUAGCUACUGACCCACCAAUUGAAGAAGGGAAAGAAAAGCCACUAAACAAUGAACCAGUAAAAGUAGAGAACAAAAAUACUUAAUUGGCUGAGGGAAACACAGAACCACAUCAGGCUGAGGAGAGUGACAGCCCCAAACCAGAUACUGACCCAGUAUUGACAGGAGAGGAGACUAAAACAGAACCUGAGAAAGGAGAGA